AUCGCACACGUGGAGAAAGAGAAAGACACAACGUGAGCGCAAAAAGCCGCCACACACAUGCAAAACGAGUCUGUGCACACGUACAGUGAGUUUUUUAUGCCCAAUAAUUUUGGCUUGUUCUGGCGGCAUAAAAACGUUGCAGAUUUUUGGACCGGGCAAAUCCACUGUGUCGAAAAUUGUCUAAGAGGGUAGCGGGUGAUGCUGAAGCCUAUCUCGGCUGCAUUCAGGCGGAAGGUGACCACAGAUCAGCCACAGGACCACUCCCCUUUGCAUCAGUUGGUGACGUCUCUGUGCUGCUGACUUGUCUCCAUUCAAGAUGAUCCCCUGCUAGCCUCCGAAUGGACUGGACUUUCACAUGAAGUCGGGACCGGUGUGGACCACUCCUUAUGCAUCAGUCGGUGUCGUCUCUACGCCCCGACAUGCCUACAUGCUAGAGGAUCCCCUGCUGUCCCCACUAUGGACUGGACUCUAACAUUGUUAACCGAAUCCACUCGGCAUCCAUUGCACCGGUCACCCAGGGGGUGUGGGGGGUCCCCACAUCUGCGGUUCCUUCCAAGGUUUCUCGUUGUUCCCAUCGGGUUGAGUUUUUUCUUGCCCUGAUGUACAAUCUGAGCCGAGGAUGUCGUUGUGGCUUGUGCAGCUCUUUGAGACAAGUGUGAUUAAGGGCUAUAUAAGUACACUUUGAUUGAUUUAUUGAUUGCAUUGCAUACCGUUCUAUUUUUUAGAUCUUAUUAUUAAUUGGGGCAAACGCUUUUGUUAAGUCCAUGAACACUGCAGUAGAACACUUUUUACCAUUUACUGCUUUGGUAAUUUCGUCUGUUAAUUCAAUUAAUGUCAUCUUAGUGUCAUCAUUUUCUCUGUAUUUGUAAUAGUUGUCCGCAUGCGAUCCACUUUUAUUUAUGAAUUUGUCAUAUCUGUUGUGAAAGAAAUUAAAGGACAUACAAUUAGAAGAACA